rnacentral:rRNA from 1 species
GAAUCGCCCUUCGGGGUGCAGCAGGCGCGAAACCUUAGCAAUGUGCGAAAGCACGACUGGGUCAGUCCGAGUGAUUCCUGAUAAAGGAGUCUUUUACUUGUCCUAAAAGCACAGGUGAAUAAGGGGUGGGCAAGUCUGGUGUCAGCCGCCGCGGUAAUACCAGCACCUCGAGUGGUCAGGACGUUUAUUGGGCCUAAAGCAUCCGUAGCCGGCUUUGCAAGUCUUCGGUUAAAUCCACCUGCUCAACAGAUGGGCCGCUGGAGAUACUACAAAGCUAGGGAGUGGGAGAGGCAGACGGUAUUCAGUGGGUAGGGGUAAAAUCCUCUGAUCCAUUGAGGACCACCAGUGGCGAAGGCGGUCUGCCAGAACACGUUCGACGGUGAGGGAUGAAAGCUGGGGGAGCAAACCGGAUUAGAUACCCGGGUAGUCCCAGCUGUAAACGAUGCAAACUCGGUGAUGCAUUGGCUUAUGGCCAAUGCAGUGCCGCAGGGAAGCCGUUAAGUUUGCCGCCUGGGAAGUACGGACGCAAGUCUGAAACUUAAAGGAAUUGGCGGGGGAGCAC